AAGGAUACCUAUGAACCAUAAAGUAGCAUUGCCCCAUCUCGAGAAAGAAAACCCCAAAACCAAAACCAAGAUCUAUAGAUCUUACUGCGUAUUCAGCUGCGGAGCUCUGAGAGGCACAAGUGACUGCAAAGGAAAGAUAAAAGGAUAAGAAACACAUCUUUUUGAAUGUCCUUGCUCAUGAAAGCCUACAGUUAUUUCAGUUCCAGAGCUUACUCCCAGAAAAGGAUCAAAUUAUAAAAUUGGAAAAAUGGUGAAAAGGAAAGUAUAUCCACCCUGAUCCACAUAUUAGUGUAAAUAAUUAGCUUCACUGCUUAAAAAUGUAGAUUGAAUUAAAUCAUCAGGCAUCUUUUAGUGAUACAUAGUUUCACAUUAUAGCUUGAAAAAUAAAUAAUGGGAGGUGUUGAUGGAUAACUAUUAGAUUUCAUGGAGAUGAAUUGGCAAAAAGAAAAGACAAUGGUAUGAAUGGUAAUGAUAACCAAUCCUAUUGUAAUGAUGUUUCAUUUCCCCGAAAAAUAAUUAUAUAAAUUAGAGGUGCACAUCAAAUAUGGACAAGUGUCCAAACCAGAGCCUAUAUGUGUGUGUGUGUACACUUGAUGAUGUUCUCAAAUUUUGACUUGUGUUCUACAUAGAAGGGUUUAUUAUUAUAACAGAAUUAAUUAUGCUGUUAUAAAACACUGUUAUUAAAAAAACCUCUCGUUUUGAGAAUAUAUUCUGCUGAUAAUG